rnacentral:rRNA from 1 species
GAACGCCCCGCAAGGGGAGUGGCAGACGGGUGAGUAACACGUGGGAACGUACCCCUUUGUUCGGAAUAACCCUGGGAAACUAGGGCUAAUACCGGAUACGGCCGAGAGGCGAAAGGUUUACUGCAGAGGGAUCGGCCCGCGUCCGAUUAGCUAGUUGGUGGGGUAAUGGCUCACCAAGGCUACGAUCGGUAGCUGGUCUGAGAGGAUGGCCAGCCACAUUGGGACUGAGACACGGCCCAAACUCCUACGGGAGGCAGCAGUGGGGAAUAUUGGACAAUGGGCGCAAGCCUGAUCCAGCCAUGCCGCGUGAGUGAUGACGGCCUUAGGGUUGUAAAGCUCUUUUACCUGGGAAGAUAAUGACGGUACCAGGAGAAUAAGCCCCGGCUAACUUCGUG